rnacentral:rRNA from 1 species
UACAGAGGUUGCAAGCGUUGUUCGGAAUUACUGGGCGUAAAGGGCGCGUAGGCGGUCUUGCAAGUCCUGUGUGAAAUCCCUCGGCUCAACUGAGGAACUGCACAGGAAACUGCUUGGCUUGAGUUCGGGAGAGGGAAGCGGAAUUCCGGGUGUAGCGGUGAAAUGCGUAGAUAUCCGGAGGAACACCGGUGGCGAAGGCGGCUUCCUGGACCGACACUGACGCUGAGGCGCGAAAGCUAGGGGAGCAAACGGG